rnacentral:rRNA from 1 species
GACGAACGCUGGCGGCGUGCCUAAUACAUGCAAGUCGUGCGGACCUUGUUGAAAGCUUGCUUUUAAAAGGUUAGCGGCGGACGGGUGAGUAACACGUGGGCAACCUGCCUGUAAGACUGGGAUAACGCCGGGAAACCGGGGCUAAUACCAGAUCGUUUUUUCCUCCGCAUGGAGGAAAAAGGAAAGGCGGCUUCGGCUGCCACUUACAGAUGGGCCCGCGGCGCAUUAGCUAGUUGGCGGGGUAAUGGCCCACCAAGGCCACGAUGCGUAGCCGACCUGAGAGGGUAAUCGGCCACAGUGGGACUGAGACACGGCCCAAACUCCUACGGGAGGCAGCAGUAGGGAAUCUUCCGCAAUGGACGAAAGUCUGACGGAGCAACGCCGCGUGAGUGAAGAAGGCCUUCGGGUCGUAAAACUCUGUUGCCGGGGAAGAACAAGUGCCGUUCGAACAGGGCGGCGCCUUGACGGUACCCGGCCAGAAAGCCACGGCUAACUACGUG